CUGGGGGGCAGUCAUACACAUGCAGUCGAGCGGAACAUAUGGGAGCUUGCUCCCAGACGUCGAGCGGCGGACGGGUGAGUAACACGUGGGAAUCUGCCCAUUAGUGGGGGAUAACUCGGGGAAACUCGAGCUAAUACCGCAUAAUCCCUACGGGGGAAAGCAGGGGAUCUUCGGACCUUGCGCUGAUGGAUGAGCCCGCGUCGGAUUAGCUUGUUGGUGGGGUAAUGGCCCACCAAGGCGACGAUCCGUAACUGGUCUGAGAGGAUGGCCAGUCACACCGGGACUGAGACACGGCCCGGACUCCUACGGGAGGCAGCAGUGGGGAAUCUUGGACAAUGGGCGCAAGCCUGAUCCAGCCAUGCCGCGUGUGUGAAGAAGGCCUUCGGGUUGUAAAGCACUUUCAGUAGGGAGGAAGGCUUUGGGCUAAUACCCUGGAGUACUUGACGUUACCUACAGAAGAAGCACCGGCUAAUUUCGUGCCAGCAGCCGCGGUAAUACGAAAGGUGCGAGCGUUAAUCGGAAUUACUGGGCGUAAAGCGCGCGUAGGCGGUGUGUUAAGUCGGAUGUGAAAGCCCAGGGCUCAACCUUGGAAUUGCAUCCGAUACUGGCACGCUAGAGUGCAGUAGAGGGAGGUGGAAUUUCCGGUGUAGCGGUGAAAUGCGUAGAGAUCGGAAGGAACACCAGAUGGCGAAGGCGGCCUCCUGGACUGACACUGACGCUGAGGUGCGAAAGCGUGGGGAGCAAACAGGAUUAGAUACCCUGGUAGUCCACGCCGUAAACGAUGUCUACUAGCCGUUGGGGUCCUUGGUGACUUUAGGUGGGCGCAGCUAACGCGAUAAGUAAACCGCCUGGGGGAGUACGGCCCGCAAGGUUAAAACUCAAAUGAAUUUGACGGGGGCCCGCACAAGCGGGUGGGAGCAUGGUGGUUUAAUUCGAUGCAACGCGAAGAACCUUACUAGGCCUUGACAUCCUGCGAACUUGCUAGAGAUAGAUAGUGCCUUCGGGAGUCGCAGUGACAGGUGCUGCAUGCUGUCGUCAGCUCGUGUCGUGAGAUGGUGGGUAGUCCCGUACGAGCGCACCUUGUCUAGUUGGCAGCACUCCGGGUGACUCUAGAACUGCAGUGACAUCGGAGACGUGGACACGUCAGUCAUCAUGCUUACGCUGGCACACGUCUCAUGGUGCAAGUGCCAUCGAGUGGCGACUAUCUCAGGCAAUCGUGAAUCG
rnacentral:rRNA from 1 species